CACGUAGUUAGCCGGUGCUUUUUCUGCAGGUACCGUCACUUUCGCUUCUUCCCUGCUAAAAGAGGUUUACAACCCGAAGGCCGUCGUCCCUCACGCGGCGUUGCUGCAUCAGGCUUUCGCCCAUUGUGCAAUAUUCCCCACUGCUGCCUCCCGUAGGAGUCUGGGCCGUGUCUCAGUCCCAGUGUGGCCGGUCACCCUCUCAGGCCGGCUACCCGUCGACGCCUUGGUGAGCCGUUACCUCACCAACUAGCUGAUAGGCCGCGAGCUCAUCCCUGACCGAAAUUCUUUCCAGACGUUGAAGAUGCCUUCACGUCUCGUAUCCGGUAUUAGCAGCUGUUUCCAGCUGUUAUCCCAGAGUCAGGGGCAGAUUGCUCACGUGUUACUCACCCGUUCGCCACUGAUCCACAGAGCAAGCUCUGCUUCACCGUUCGACUUGCAUGUGUUAAGCACGCCGCCAGCGUUCAUCCUGAGCCAGGAUCAAACUCU
rnacentral:rRNA from 1 species